rnacentral:lncRNA from 1 species
GGUGGGACGGAGGGAGUAUGCGACAAAACGAUGAUAACGCCUUGGAUGAUUUAGGAGCUACAAGAAUACAACUAUAGAAGAUGUCAGUGAGUCGGAGAGAAAACAAAUUACCAGAUCACUAGCGAGGGAAAGGGAAAAAUAGAAGACCCGCAUGCAUGUACGAAGAGAAUGAAUUGGAUUGCUUCUCUUGUGUAAAUUAUAAAAGAAAG